CCUACGGGUGGCUGCAGUGGGGAAUAUUGCACAAUGGGCGCAAGCCUGAUGCAGCCAUGCCGCGUGUGUGAAGAAGGCCUUCGGGUUGUAAAGCACUUUCAGCGGGGAGGAAGGCGUUAAGGUUAAUAACCUUGUCGAUUGACGUUACCCGCAGAAGAAGCACCGGCUAACUCCGUGCCAGCAGCCGCGGUAAUACGAAGGGUGCAAGCGUUAAUCGGAAUUACUGGGCGUAAAGCGCACGCAGGCGGUCUGUCAAGUCGGAUGUGAAAUCCCCGGGCUCAACCUGGGAACUGCAUUCGAAACUGGCAGGCUAGAGUCUUGUAGAGGGGGGUAGAAUUCCAGGUGUAGCGGUGAAAUGCGUAGAGAUCUGGAGGAAUACCGGUGGCGAAGGCGGCCCCCUGGACAAAGACUGACGCUCAGGUGCGAAAGCGUGGGGAGCAAACAGGAUUAGAUACCCUAGUAGUC
rnacentral:rRNA from 1 species